AAUAGAUACCCCGGUAGUCCACGCCGUAAACGGUGGGCACUAGGUGUGGGCGACAUUCCACGUCGUCCGUGCCGCAGCUAACGCAUUAAGUGCCCCGCCUGGGGAGUACGGCCGCAAGGCUAAAACUCAAAGGAAUUGACGGGGGGCCCGCACAAGCGGCGGAGCAUGUGGCUUAAUUCGACGCAACGCGAAGAACCUUACCAAGGCUUGACAUACACCGGAAACGUCCAGAGAUGGGCGCCCCCUUGUGGUCGGUGUACAGGUGGUGCAUGGCUGUCGUCAGCUCGUGUCGUGAGAUGUUGGGUUAAGUCCCGCAACGAGCGCAACCCUUGUCCCGUGUUGCCAGCAGGCCCUUGUGGUGGCUGGGGACUCACGGGAGACCGCCGGGGUCAACUCGGAGGAAGGUGGGGACGACGUCAAGUCAUCAUGCCCCUUAUGUCUUGGGCUGCACACGUGCUACAAUGGCCGGUACAAUGAGCUGCGAUACCGCGAGGUGGAGCGAAUCUCAAAAAGCCGGUCUCAGUUCGGAUUGGGGUCUGCUAACCG
rnacentral:rRNA from 1 species